UCUGUCUCUCGUUUGGUGUCCUCCUGUCCUCAUCUUAAUGUGCUCAUCGGUGGUGUUCAAGUGCCAUGUUUAGUGGAUACCGGUUCCAUGGUGUCCACGAUCACCGAGAGUUGCUUUCACCAGUAUUUUGAACCAUGGGGGCAGGAGCGUCUUAGGUCGUGUCAAUGGUUGCAACUUACCGCUGCGAAUGGUCUUGCGAUUCCUUAUAUCGGGUAUAUGGAGCUCGAUGUCGAACUUUGUGGUAAAGUAGUACCGGAGUGUGGAGUGCUGGUUGUCCGAGAUCCUCCUGGUGGCGCCGGAACUUUUUGGACAACAUGGUACAUCCCUUUUUGACUUACCGGUGGUGUCACAGGCCCCUAGCUCCGUCACAAAGGCAUUACAACAUUGUAGUAAGGUUAGUGUCCAGACCUCUGUUGAUCGUGUUGGGGGGGUUAGGGUGCGGGGGCGGGGCGUGUGUCACAUUCCAGGUGGUACCAUGAAGCUGGUAGCGGCAACCUGCUCAGAACAUUAUGCUUCCGGUCCCGUGCUGUUUGAGCCUCCAGAUUCAGGCUUACCUGCUGGUUUGUUGGCCUCCCCGCACUGGUUCAAGUGACCCGGGGCACGGUGUAUAUCCCGGUUGUGAAUGUGGGUACCACUGAGGUGAUUCUUUACCCCAGGACGUCUUUGGGCACAUUGAGUGGUGUCUUUGUCAUUAGUUUGCCAGAAGGUAUUACUGAAGUAAGGUCCUUAACUGCUACUGUAGGCUCCCAUAGUUCCUUGGUCCCCUCUACUGUGGAGGACCAGAUUGAUGCCAUAGAUUUGUCAGUUUUGGCUGGGGAAGAGCAAAGCCGGGUCCGGGCUUUGCUUCACAAGUACAAAUUUGUGUUUUCAGCCCAUGAGGGUGAUCUGGGGUGCACUAACCUCUUGUCCCAUGAUAUUCCGCUUCUGGACGAUACCCCUGUCAGGCAACGGUACAGGCGUAUACCACCUUCGGAAUAUGAGGUAGUAAAGUCCCACAUUAAUCAACUUCUUGAGGCACAGGUUAUCAGGGAAAGCUGCAGCCCCUAUGCGUCUCCCAUUGUUUUAGUUAAGAAAAAAGACGGUAGUCUACGAAUGUGCGUAGACUAUCGUCAACUUAAUUCUAAAA
ensembl:lncRNA